rnacentral:RNase_P_RNA from 1 species
GCGAUGAACUAUGCUGCCGCGUCAUAGCCGGUUUAACCGUAUAUGAUGAGGAAAGUCCGGGCUCCGCAGGGCAUGAUGCCGGGUAAUCCCCGGGCGGGAGCUUGCAAAAGUUUCCGACAGAAAGCGCAACAGAAAGUAAACCGCUAUAAUGUCUUGUUUAGAGGCAUUCAGUAAGGGUGAAAGGGUGGGGUAAGAGCCCACCGCGGGAUCGGUAACGAUUCCGGCACGGCAAGCCUCAUCAGGAGCAAAGUCAAACAGCGGCAGAACGGCCCGUUUUACGCCGUGGGUAGACUGCGUAGAUAGGACCCGAGAGGAUGCUACGAGAUAGAUGGCAGCCAGUAUGUGCUGCUUGCAGCAGGUACAGCACAGAACCCGGCUUAUGGUUCAUCGCUUUU